UCUUUCUUUCAAAAGCAGUCAGCUCUGUAUUACUCAUUCAUUACAAACAAAUACCAAACAGCACUAGGGGUUGCGUUCGUUCCAGGACCUAACCAAACAUCUUAAAACACGAACUGACGACAGCCAUGCAGUACCUGUACCGGAAAAUAAGCUUCCUCUAAGUAAAUCCUAUUUAAUAAAAAUUCUCAUUUUCAAUAAUCCAGUAUACAAGCAUUGGUAAGAUUACUCGCGUUAUUUCGAAUUAAACCACAUGCUCCACCGCUUGUGCGAGCUUCCGUCAAUUCCUUUGAGUUUCAACCUUGCGGCCGUACUCCUCAGGCGGAGUAUUCACGCGUUAGCUAUAACUUACUUUGUGUAAAUUUUAUACUCAUCGGUCACAGCGUAGACUAC
rnacentral:misc_RNA from 1 species